UUGAUAAUUACUUUGGCUCCCCGAGAGGUCUCUAGCUACUGCUCAACUCAGCAGAAUUGUAGUGAUACCAAAGAUAGUUUCCCUUGGAGUUUUUUUGGGUGCUUCCUAGAGAAAUACUAAAUCAGCUAAAGAAAGCUUUCUCCUGAAGAGGAAUUAGUGGCUCGGACGAGGACUGAGGAUGGUUUCGCACAGAAACUGGAUAGGAUUUGGACAGGCACAAGAGAGGAGAGCAUGGCAGGCAGAGAUUAAUAAUUGAACCUAUUUUUUUUAAAGUCAUAUAUAAUCAUGUUGAAGAAAAGGAGGAAAUUGUCACAAUUUCUUUUCUCCAGACCUGAAUUUGAUGUUCCUUUUGGAUGAGAAGAGUUAAAACGAAGACCUCAUUUUGGGGGGCAGUUCAAAAGCAACAUAAUUCUAAAGUGAAAUUUCACUUAAUCUAUCACACAGUCCUAAUCAGUUGAGGAGAAAAAAACGUCAGGAAUAAAAUUUCAAAGGGAUUCUAUUUUAAAAUAGCCACUGGACAUGUACUGUAAUAAAACUUUUAA